ACGGAGGGUGCAAGCGUUGUUCGGAAUUAUUGGGCGUAAAGGGCGCGUAGGCGGUAAUGUAAGUCAGAUGUGAAAUACUUCGGCUCAACUGAAGAACUGCAUCUGAAACUGCAUAACUAGAGUACAGAAGAGGGAAACGGAAUUCCCGGUGUAGGGGUGAAAUUCCUAGAUAUUGGGAGGAACCCCAGUGGGGAAGGCGGUUUUCUUGUCCUAAUCCGACGGUUAGGCGGCGAAGUGUUGGGAGCAAACAG
rnacentral:rRNA from 1 species